CGCUGGCGGCGCGCCUAACACAUGCAAGUCGAACGAGAAAGGAAGAGCUUGCUCUUCUAAUCGAGUGGCGAACGGGUGAGUAACGCGUNAGGAACCUGCCCUCAAAGAGGGGGGACAACAGUUGGAAACGACUGCUAAUACCGCAUAAGCCCACGGGUCGGCAUCGACCAGAGGGAAAAGGAGCAAUCCGCUUUGAGAUGGCCUCGCGUCCGAUUAGCUAGUUGGUGAGGUAAUGGCCCACCAAGGCAACGAUCGGUAGCCGGACUGAGAGGUUGAACGGCCACAUUGGGACUGAGACACGGCCCAGACUCCUACGGGAGGCAGCAGUGGGGAAUAUUGCACAAUGGGGGAAACCCUGAUGCAGCGACGCCGCGUGGAGGAAGAAGGUCUUCGGAUUGUAAACUCCUGUUGUUGGGGAAGAUAAUGACGGUACCCAACAAGGAAGUGACGGCUAACUACGUG
rnacentral:rRNA from 1 species